UAAAAAUGAAUAUAAAUUUUAUUGAAAAACAACACCAGCAACAAUGAGGGGAAAUCAUACCUAACAGCCAGUGGCCCACACAACUCAAUGCACACGUUAUGAAAAGUAAUCACCUCUUCAAAGCUCCAGCUAUGCAUCCAAAUGAAAAGAAAUGAUCGACCUCAGAUAAACUGACGGGGGACGCAGAUGUACACCACCUCUCACCUCGGAAAGCUUUGCCAACAGCAAAGGACGCUACCAUGCUAUUCGGUCCCCCGUUUGCUGUGGGUGAUCCAGUGAAUUUCAAAAAUUAAACUGGUUUGGAAAGAACUGGUUAGCAUGGCAGCAAAGACCCAAGACCACUGAGAAAUUUUUUCUACUUUUCCAGUCCUUUGAGAAGAGGAUUUCACAAACUUUCUUGGCAACUUGUCCCUCCUGCUUAACAACAGGAAAUACUUCUUUACGUCUAGCCUAAAUCCUUCAUGCUUCAGUUAAUCUAUUUAUUUCCUCUUAAUCUCAGCAGGCUGUCAGGGGUUUGUCCUGGUGGGACAAUGUAACAUAUGGGGAACACACAAUGAUCACAAUCAGAUUGGAGGCAGAGUCCAGCUGUGCUAGUGGCGCUUCCAAAACAAGUUGAACAGAAGUUAAUUGCAGUUGUGGUUUUCGCCCAUUUGCCUCGUCCCACUCUCCCACCCUCCCCGACCCUCUAUGCCCUUCUGUGGCUUCAGGGCUGCCAUCCUAGGGCUUGCAGCAAAAGCUUUCUGAGUUCCAUCAGUUCCAAUUUUUCACUGAUUUACGAAUGAAUGUGGUCAGACUGUCCCAUCCACUUCUACCCGAUUUCCGGGUAAAAUAUUCCCAAACGGUUAUCACGUUCUCGUCUUCGCACCAUGCCAGGCAGUUCCUUGCCUCGCUUCACAACUUGUGUGGGAACGACGUGCUCCACGGAUACAUGAGAAAACUCCGAGAAGCCACGAGAAGGCACUCAGUGAAUUUAAUAUAAACAUCCCAGCCGCAUUUUUUUCAAAUGCUGCAUAAAACCCCCAGCCUCACGGGAGUUUGCAGCACCUGCAGCUCCGCAUUUCGGACAGCAGGGGACGCCCGUGCCAUUCCACUGGCCGUUAGAACGCCUCGGUCGGGAAACAAAGAUGGGGAUUUGAAUAAAAGACUUCAAAAUGCAACCCCGAAUUCUACCCUGAGCAGCAUGCGUGUAAAAAUUCAUGAAGAUUGGAUUUCAUUUCAUGUAUUUUUACUUCAAUGGAAAGAAAUGCAGGUGUUGUCUGUGCCUACAGCUGUCUUUACAAGGAGCGGGGGGCGCCUGGUUAAACGAGCAGGGAGGGGUUGCUGAUGCUCCCAGGCGCUUGGCGAGGCUGGGCCACCGUCUCCUGCUUGGGACAGCUCCUGUUUUGCUGGGUGGCAUCCUUUGUGUGCUCCAGAAUGUAUAGACUAAUUAUA
ensembl:lncRNA